rnacentral:rRNA from 1 species
AACGAACGCUGGCGGCAGGCUUAACACAUGCAAGUCGAACGGGUGUAGCAAUACAUCAGUGGCAGACGGGUGAGUAACACGUGGGAACCUUCCUAGGGGUACGGAACAACUCAGGGAACUUGAGCUAAUACCGUAUACGUCCGUAAGGAGAAAGAUUCAUCGCCCCUAGACGGGCCCGCGUCGGAUUAGGUAGUUGGUGGGGUAACGGCCUACCAAGCCUACGAUCCGUAGCUGAUCUGAGAGGANGAUCAGCCACACUGGGACUGAGACACGGCCCAGACUCCUACGGGAGCGAGCAGU